rnacentral:lncRNA from 1 species
CGACCCGCUAGAACAAAUUUUCGAUGAAUAACAUUUCUAUUUUUAUUUUGUCACUCAUAAAAAUUUUAUGAUGAAAAUAAAAGAAAAUGAAGUUGUUGUUGAUAUUUCUGAUUAAGAUCAACAGAAAAGAUCAGAAAAUUACGAUAUUACGUAAAAAGAAAAUUAAUGUUAACACUAAUGAAAAACAAUAGUAUACUUGUAUUAACUUUUGGAACCGAAUUCCAUGUUUUGCAUUAGUCUCUUGUUUCAUAUAGCACGGCACUUUUUCCGAACGUAACUACUGUGUUUUACAAGGGAUAUUUGGAUAUAGGUUUAUUUUCUUUAUGAAAAUUUAAAUUAUUGUUAUCCUUUGUACUUUCCCGACUUUUCAUCCGAGGUGAAUGUUAAAAUAAAAUAAACUAGUAUUAAAAGAUUAACCGUCGUAAAAAAACAAGCAACGAACCCCGGGUGUACGAAUCAUCACUUCCUGGAACAAGUUCGAACUCACCCAGUAAGAUCGUUGACUGUUAGUUGUUCUUUUAUUAGCCGCAUCGUCAAGAACUGUACCAUAUACGCGAGGAAGACAAUAAACUCAGUUUUGUUACGAUCUCUCUCGUUCGUUUUUCACGAAAAGUAAAGCAAUAGUAGUAAAAACACUACACUAUUAACAUGAAAAACGA